rnacentral:tRNA from 1 species
AGCGAGGUAGAGCAGCCUGGAGUGCUCGAUGGGCUCAUAACCCGUAGGUCGUUGGUUCAAAUCCAACCCUCGCUA